UUUGAAGCCGGAACGCUAGUUUCGGUGGAGCCUCCCUUGAGAUACCACCCUUGUUCUGCUUGAUGUCUAACCGCGGCCCGUUAUCCGGGUCCGGGACCCUGCGUGGUGGGUAGUUUGACUGGGGUGGUCGCCUCCAAAAGAGUAACGGAGGCUUCUAAAGGUACCCUCAGCACGCUUGGUAACCGUGCGCAGAGUAUAAUGGCAUAAGGGUGCUUGACUGGGAGACUUACAAGUCGAUCAGGUACGAAAGUAGAGCAUAGUGAUCCGGUGGUUCCGUAUGGAAGGGCCAUCGCUCAAAGGAUAAAAGGUACUCCGGGGAUAACAGGCUGAUUCCUCCCAAGAGUCCACAUCGACGGAGGAGUUUGGCACCUCGAUGUCGGCUCAUCACAUCCUGGGGCUG
rnacentral:rRNA from 1 species